rnacentral:lncRNA from 1 species
AUCCCUAGUAAUUUAUGAAGUGGUCCGUUAUCAUCUUAAUGAACCAUUUAAGUUUUAAACAUGAUUUUAAAACUUUUCAGAAUAACUCCAAACUUUUUGUGGCAGUGUCCAAAAUUGCAAUACAAAUUAUGAGCCAAGUUUCAUAAUUUUACAAAAUCAAUUUGGCGGAUUAACUUAACACAAAACAGUAGAUAAAAAGAAAAACAGUAAACAAAAAAAAAAGAAGAAAACCUAAACUACUGGGCGAUUAGGCCCAUGUGGCUAGGGAGGCUUAGCCCAGCCGCCCUCCUCCCACCUCCUGUUCACAGGAGGGCGUGGAGGCCAUCCAUGGCGCCUCGGCCAUGUGCCGGCCAUCCACGCCUCCCCCUCGAGUACAAAACCCCCUUCGCCCCUCUUCCUCGACCCCGCGACCCUGGUCAAACCCUAGCCACUACCCCCUCUUACCCCUCGCUCUCCCCGAUCUGGAGAGGCACCUGACGCGGCCGUCGCAGCGCCAAUCCCGCGGCCACCGGACUCCCCUCGUUGAUGCAACAAGUCCAGGAGCUCCGCAGUGUUCGUCUACGCCAUCUACGACCAUCCGUUCGAGUUUGACGCGUCUACAUCUUGCGGAUCGAGCUUCUUCUUCCUCGGUCGCCGCCGACUUUCGUCUCCAAAUUCGUCCAACCCAGCGCUCCUAAGCUCCCACCGGGCCUACUUGUGCCUCCACGGUGAGCUCAUCUCCCGAUUCCCCCGCUUUUCCCCCUCGAUCUGUCGCUGUAGACGUCGCCCCAUGAGGACCAGUCGGCAUGGCCGGAGUUUGGCCCGUCCGUGCCGUGGUCACGCCCGUAUGCCCGUGCUGCUCCAGCCUAAGCCCCUGACCGAACGUGGACGCCCAACCGCGCUCACGCGUGCCCCUGGCCGUGCCCCUGCGCCGCCCGAGCGUGCAUCCACCGCGGCUUGGCCGCGCCCGCCCGCGCUGCUGCUGGCUAUUGCCGUUGUCGCUUCUGCUUCUUGCUGCAGCUGGUGCUACUACUUUCUGCUCCCGCUGCUGCCGCUACUUCCUGCUGCUGCCUCUGCUUUCCCCUGCUCCUCGCCGCAUGCCGCAGCCAUCCGAUUGCCCCAACGCACACCUGCGCUGUCCGCUCGCCCAGCCGUCUGCUUGCUCGGCCACCAGUGUAGCGGCUGGCGCUGGCCGCGAGCGCCCCAUGUGUGCACUCGUGCCUGAGGCACAACCACACAGUGGCCGGCUAGUGCCAUCGCCACCUGGGCCCUUCUAGGAUUAGAUUAGAUGGUAAUCUAAUUACAUGCCACUAAACCAGCACCUUACACACUACUAUUGGGCCCCCACCACUAACUAGGCAAAAUAAACAAUCUGUUUAAAAUAAUGGCCCAAUGACAUCUGGGCCCCACUGCCCAGUUUUGACCAUUCAACCUAGUCAAUGUUGACUGUUGACCCUGCUGACUCAACACCUCACUGGCCCCACAUGUCAACCUGUGUGUGCAUUCAUGUGUACACUCUACUAGGUGCACUUAGCAUUUUCAUUUAAUAUAAUUUUCGAAUUAAUUUAAAUUCAGAAAAUGAUUAAAACUUUAGAAAUACAUAAAAAAUAAACCGUAGCUCAGAUGAAAAUGUUUUCUACAUGAAAGUUGCUCAGAACGACGAGACGAAUCCAGAUACGCAACCCGUUCAUCUGCCACACAUCCCUAGCAUAGCAAACACGCAACUUUCUCGUCCGGUUCAUCUGUCCGAAAACGUGAAACACCGGGAUACUUUCCCGAUUGUUUUCCCACUUCGCGGGUAUCACCCACUACUGCGUUAGGUCACCUCUAGCACCACGUAUUGCCAUGCUACGCUAUGUGAUACUUUGAUUGCUCUGUUAUUUAUUGUGUUCUCCCUCUGUUACUUAUUUCCGGUAGACCCCGAGGCUGCCGACGACCCCCCCAGUUCGACUACGGUGUUGACGACCCCUCCUUGCCAGAGCAACCAGGCAAGGCCCCCCCUUGAUCACCAGAUAUCGCCUAUUCUUCUCUAUACUGCUUGCAUUAGAGUAGUGUAGCAUGUUACUGUUUGGUUACUCCUAUUCUAUUGCAUAGCCUGUCAUUGUUGCUACAGUCGUUGAUACCUUACCCGCAAUCCUAAAUGCUUAGUAUAGGAUGCAAGUUUAUCAUCAUUGGCCCUACAUUCUUGUCAGUCUGCCUUGCUAUGCUAUCGGGUCGUGAUCACUUGGGAGGUGAUCACGGGUUUAUACUAUACAUAUAUACAUACUAUACAGAUGGUGACUAAAGUCGGGUCAGCUCGUUGAGUACCCGCAAGUGAUUCAGAUGUGGGGGCUGGAAGGACAGGUGGCUCCAUCGCGGUAGAGGUGGACCUGGGUUCCCGACGGCCCACGAUUGUUACUAUGUGGCGGAGCGACAGGGUAGGUUGAGACCACCUAGGCGAGAGGUCGGCCUAGCCCUGGUCGACGUUCGCGGUUACUUCAUAAUAACACGCUUAACGAGAUCUUGGUAUUUGAUCUGAGUCUGGCCACUAGCCUAUACGCACUAACCAACUACACGGGAAAGAUAUGGGCACUCGACGUCGUGGUAUCAGCCGAAGCCUUCUUGACGUCAGCGAUGGAGCGGCGCGCGCCGGAUUGGACAGCGUAACGGGACUUCCUUUGUAAUGGAGGUUUCUAGGUCUGCUUCCGGCCGCCCUCGCAACAUGCAGGUAUGCAAUGGGCGAUGGGCCCAGACCCCUGCGCGCAUAGGAUUUAGACCGACGUGUUGACCUCUCUGUUGUGCCUAGGUGGGGCUGCGACGUGUUGAUCUUCCGAGGCCGGGCAUGACCCAGGAAAGUGUGUCCGGCCAAAUGGGAUCGAGCGUGUUGGGUUAUGUGGUGCACCCCUGCAGAGAAGUUUAUCUAUUCGAAUAGCCGUGUCCCUCGGUAAAAGGACGACCCGGAGUUGUAUCUUGACCUUACGACAACUAGAACUGGAUACUUAAUAAAACACACCCAGACAAGUUCCACAGACAAUCCGGUGAUCGCUUUUCCACAGGACGACGAGGGGAGGAUCGCCGGGGUAGGAUUAUGCUAUGCGAUGCUACUUGGAGGACUUCGAUCUACUCUCUUCUACAUGCUGCAAGACGGAGGCUGCCAGAAGCGUAGUCUUCGACAGGAUUAGCUAUCCCCCUCUUAUUCUGGCAUUUUGCAGUUCAGUCCACCGAUAUAGCCCUUUACACAUAUACCCAUGCAUAUGUAGUGUAGCUCCUUGCUUGCGAGUACUUUGGAUGAGUUCUCACGGUUGCUUUCCCCCCCUUUUUUCCCCUUUCCCUUCUACCUGGUUGUCCCAACCAAAUGCCGGAGCCUAGGAGCCAGACGCCACCAUCGACGACGAUUCCUACUACACUGGAGGUGCCUACUACUACGUGCAGGCUACUGACGACGACCAGGAGUAGUUUAGGAGGAUCCCAGGCAGGAGGCCUGCGCCUCUUUCGAUCUGUAUCCCAGUUUGUGCUAGCCUUCUUAAGGCAAACUUGUUUAACUUAUGUCUGUACUCAGAUAUUGUUGCUUCCGCUGACUUGUCUAUGAUCGAGCACUUGUAUUCGAGCCCUCGAGGCCCCUGGCUUGUAUUAUGAUGCUUGUAUGACUUAUUUUUAUUUUUAGAGUUGUGUUGUGAUAUCUUCCCGUGAGUCCCUGAUCUUGAUCGUACACGUUUGUGUGUAUGAUUAGUGUACGAUUGAAUCGGGGGCGUCACAAGUUGGUAUCAGAGCCGACUGCCUGUAGGAAUCCCCCUUUCCAACUCCUUGGCCGAAGUCGAGUCUAGUCAUUGAAAAACUUUUAUUAACAUGGCCGUGUGGCUUACGGGCCCACGUUGCCAUUGGGUGGUAUUAGGAUCUUUUACUCCUCGUCUAUAUACUCUGGGACUCUGAUCUCUCUUCUAUUCGGGUUAAAUGAAUUUUGCUAACUCUAACAUUAGGAUCUCGUGAUCACUUCCACCCGGAGAGCCCCGUGUUACCAAUGACCACCUGCUGCACCAGAAGAUUCCAAAAAUACUCUAUGAUGUUCUCUCGAGACUUGUGCCAUUGCUUUUGCAAUUCCCAUCCCUCGAUAAACCUCUAUGGGUAACUUCUCAUUCAUACCUUCAUCCCCAGUUGCUCUUAUUAUUACAAGAUGCGUUGAAAUACUCUUCGAUGUUUCAAGGAUCCUUUAUGCUUACUGCCUUGCAGUUCCUUUUCCGCACAAAUACAUGUAUGGAUAAUUCCUCACAAUUACCGAGUAUUCAUCCAUCCCUAGUUGUUCAUAUGUUUUAUAUGAUACUUUGAAAUUCUAUCCGAUCAUUCGAGAAUCCUCUUUAAAAUUAUUGCUCUGCAAUACUUGUCUGCUUGCAUUAUGGAUGCUUUCCAUAUGUCUGGCAAUAUUCGUUAGUAUCCUUAGGCACCAUCAUUUUGAUCCUAUUGAUUCAACCUGAGUGCGAAUGCACGCAAUCAUCAGUUGAUCCUUUUAAAUUAUCUUUCCGCUCAGACGUCAUUUUAAACAUGAGCUGGAUCUCGACCAAUCAAAUUGCCAUCGAUUGUACCCCUAAGCCUACUCAACUUAUCCAUCCUUGAUCAGAGCGUUGCUUCUGAUCCCCUGAUUUGGAAAUCAUAGUUCUUUUGCAUUUGAACUUUGAAUUAGUCAGAUGUUUCUAUAAUCAGAUCUCCUUGCAUUCUUCUUCCUCUGGUUGAGUACCGAUGCUCACAUCAGAUCCCUUGUGGACCAUCGGUUCCUUUGUUGGAUUUUAUCCGACAGUGUCCUUCAUACUGAAUAACCUUGUGAGCCUUUCCAUGGGUAUAUAACGCCAUUGGUAAAUUGUAUCAUCUGCUUUUGAACAAUGCUCUACUUUCGAGCUUGUAUUAUUUACUCCGAAGCUUGUGGUAUAUGUUCCUAAGAUGCCCCGAUGGGUUGAACCUAUGCCUUCCUUAAUCUGUGGGAACCCGAGAGUUUUCACGAGUCAUAUUCUUCUGGUAUUUUGCUAGAUAAAAUUUCAACACUACAACUUCUUCGAAAGUGAGAAGUGAAUGAAAGGUUAUGCAUUGGAGAAGUGGGAGUCGACCUUGAACUUGGUGUUCAUGCCCAUGGAUACGAUGUAGUUCUUAUCAUUAAAACUUCUCUUAAAUUAAUUAUUCCUUUGGUAUAAGUUCAUUUAUAUCCAAGAUCUGGUCUUUUGUAAUCGUGGAUCCGACCAUGUUCUCCUUUAAAUACCAUUUCUCGUGCAAGUUUAAGCACUUGUCUUUUGUAGGGCAAUACCCUAGUCCAACCUCUACUUUGAUCUAUCGUCGAGUAUUACCCCCGGUAUCUCGAGAAUAUCAAAGAACUGUGUUGCUCCCUAUGAGUCUUCAUCUAGUAUUGCUUCUCAUCGAUUUCAGAUUUCCCCUGGGUUUUGGGUUGUCAUCAACCGAGAACACCGAUAUGUGAACCGAUUCUGCAUUCUGGUUUGAUAACCCCAAGUAAUUUUCAUUGCUUAUGAGUUUAAUAAUCCUUCAACUCAUUCCUAGCCUAAUCAGCUAUAUCAUUAUAGUGCUAAAUUUUAACGGUGCUACCUGGUCCUUCCCGGAGCACCAAUUUCGACGAUGAGCUGAGCUUAUGUCAAUUUUCCUCAUCAUAUCAUUUCGCCUUGAACAGCAAGCUUGAUUUCGAGUUUGUGUCGUGGUUCCAAUAACCUUUCGCUUCAUCAUUCCUUUGACUUGAUGUCGUCGAUGAGCGAUUAUAUCUUCAUGAAACCUCUCAACAAAUGUGUCAUGAUCAUCAUCAACAUUCUGAGCUCUUCCAGGAUAUCAAUUGAAUUCAUGAUGAGAAAUACCAUACUUGCCCUCGAUGAUUUUUGUUGUCAUCGACCACUUUAUUGCCUUACCUCCAACAUAAACUUGUUCUUGUUCUGUGUUAUACCUUGAGAUUCUUGCUAUCCAGUAUUUGUUCUCCUUUACCAUGGAGUAUUACCAUCUUUUAUGUCAAGAAUGUUGUGAGAAUUUCACCACCUCUUAAGAAUUCUUGGUAUAGUAAUACUUCUUGCCAUCUCCGCUCAUUCCUGGGUCCCCGUGUUGAUUUUACCCGGGAUACCAACACGUGAACCGUGCUGCUUGGAUUCUGUACUUCUAGCAACCCUAUUGCUUUGAAGUUAAUGGUCGAUAGUUUCACUCUAAGUCUAUUGCUUAUUGAAUCAUCAUUCAAACAUUGAUCGUGAUAUCUAGUCCAGAUUUCCGGGUGCCCCUUCUAUCAUUGUUAAAUUAUGUAUGUUUUCCUCGAGCAUACAUCAUUAUAUCAUUUGAUCUGACAAAUGUUAUCUCUUUGUUCACAUAAGUGUGGAAAUCCAUCUUUUGGCAUUCUCCAUGAUUUGUCGCUGAGUUCAUCAACCACCUCCUCAUCCUCUCCUUGGUUUAUUGAUGAACUCUUGUUUCGGGACUCGCUUCCAUAGUUCAUUUCCCGAGAAUCUUUCAAUGUCAUUUCAUCUAUUUGUGUUGCACCUUUUCUUCUCGGACAUCCUGAGUCUGAGGUAUCAUGACACCAAGUGGAUCUGAAUCUCGGUCAGAUAUGAUGGUUGGGACAACUUUCCAGGAGUUAUGAUGAUGGUUCUUAGAUGACCCGGUAAGAUGAUGUCAUGCCUAGCACCCCCCUGGCUGGAGGACCUAUCAUUAUAAUUUCUUUUGCAAGGACAACCAUUCUUCCUGGAGGAAAUUGUAAGACUUAUUUUAUAAGUUGCUCCUGAUGGAUCAUUUGUGUAUCCAAAGUCUGGCCCUUGAUUGAAACACCAUAUCAUUGCUACCUCGAAGCAUGACUAUGAUACCCCCGCUCUUCAACAAGAACAUUUGAGGUGCGAUCCUAAAUGGUUCUUGCUCAAUUAUCCACACACCGUUGUAUGGGUAAUGUCAUGAAAUUUCUCUCCCCUUACCUACCGGGUUUUCUACAUUAUCCUGUCAGGAUAUCAUGCUCUGCUUGUCCUUGGGAAGGAUAUACCCUUGUAAAAUGUGUGUAAAUACAUUUCCCCUUCCAUUGUUUUGUUUAACCUCUCUUGUACGCUGACUUAACUAAGCAGAGAUAAUUCCCUGCUUAGGUAGGCACCUUGUUGUACCACUCUGUCUGUAAGAUCCUGUUACUAUUGUUGGUGACAUUCCAGUAACCACCGACGGGUGAUAACUUUGCCAAUUGGUUCGCCUCAUUCAACAAGCAGGAAAAUUACUCUCUUUGUUCCCCGUCCUUGGUACCAACAUUGUUGCCGGCAUACCUGACAAGCUAUUCACCGACAUGCCUCCCUGUCGCGGCUGUGCAAGAUGUCACCACCCUUCCUACUUUCAACCCACAUGGUGGGCCCAUAACCCAUAGGUCCACUGGAUCAAAACCUGACUCUCCUGUAGAACCUUUUGUCAAAGUUAUUCCUCGUGCUUGACUUCGUAUGUAAUUCACGGGCCACCUGCCUAGUGAUCUAUUAUGGUAUCAGACGCAAUACUUAUUCCCAUUGCUCUGAACCCCUUUCACACUUCGUUUCAGGCAACGAAUGAUUGCCUACCCGCUUGAAACUUCCCAUGAUACCUUCUUACUUUGCUCUCGAUAUUUUCUUAAGAUUCGAUUCGAGAGUUACUUUCGACCACCUUUCCUGAUGUUAUCUACCAGAUACGCAACAUGGUAGCAGGUCCGUUCUUCCGAAGUUACCCCUUGUCCUUCGUACGUACGAUGGAGUUCUCGAAGGAAGGAGGACGACUUCAUCAUGAUGACCUGGAGCAGAGGAAUGAAAGCAUCAACGUAUCGGGUUGACCUCUUCGAGAAGAGCAACCAAACACCGAGAAGACCCGUUAGAAUUUCGUAACCAAAUCCCUUCCCCUUGCUCCCCUCUUAAAUCUCGGGACGAGAUUUCUUGUAGUGGAGGAGAAUUGUGACGCCCGGAUAAUUAAGCUACAGUAACCACUCACUAAUGGUGCCAUGUCAUCACAUUUUUCUUGCUAAUGAUCACAUUGUUCCAAAUCAAACUCAAAUUCAAAUUCAAAAUACAAGUCAAAUUAUUAGUUCUUAAAAAGGUAAAUUAAAAAUGUUCGUUGGGUUACAAGUAUUCGCUAACUAAUUCUCAUGAUUAAACCAACAUUAUUUGACUCGCCAGUUAAUCCCUAGUAAUUUAUGAAGUGGUCCGUUAUCAUCUUAAUGAACCAUUUAAGUUUUAAACAUGAUUUUAAAACUUUUCAGAAUAACUCCAAACUUUUUGUGGCAGUGUCCAAAAUUGCAAUACAAAUUAUGAGCCAAGUUUCAUAAUUUUACAAAAUCAAUUUGGCGGAUUAACUUAACACAAAACAGUAGAUAAAAAGAAAAACAGUAAACAAAAAAA